GACAGAGGUGCCAAGCGUUAGGCGGAAUCACUGGGCUUAAAGCGUGUGUAGGCGGGCGGGCAAGUACCUUGUGAAAUCCCACGGCUCAACCGUGGAACGGCUGGGUAUACUGCCUGUCUUGAGCCAGCUAGGGGCGACCGGAACAGACGGUGGAGCGGUGAAAUGCGUAGAUAUCGUCUGGAACGCCAAAGGUGAAAACAGGUCGCUGGGGCUGAGCUGACGCUGAGGAGCGAAAGCGUGGGGAGCGAACAGG
rnacentral:rRNA from 1 species